ACGACGCUGGCGGCGUGCUUAACACAUGCAAGUCGAACGGUGACGAGGAGCUUGCUCCUCUGAUCAGUGGCGAACGGGUGAGUAACACGUGAGCAACCUGCCCCAGACUCUGGGAUAACAGUUGGAAACAGCUGCUAAUACCGGAUACGAGACGGAGAGGCAUCUCUACCGUCUGGAAAGUUUUUCGGUCUGGGGAUGGACUCGCGGCCUAUCAGCUAGUUGGUGAGGUAAUGGCUCACCAAGGCGACGACGGGUAGCCGGCCUGAGAGGGCGACCGGCCACACUGGGACUGAGACACGGCCCAGACUCCUACGGGAGGCAGCAGUGGGGAAUAUUGCACAAUGGGCGAAAGCCUGAUGCAGCGACGCCGCGUGAGGGAUGACGGCCUUCGGGGUGUAAAGUUCUUUUCUGUCAGAAGAAUAAGCUUGUCGAGACGAGUGAUGCCGGUAUGACAGGAAUAAGCAUCGGCUAACUCCGUG
rnacentral:rRNA from 1 species